GUCGGAUGUAGAGGAGAGGUUUAAAAAGCCUUAUCACCAUUUGGUAGUGGAAUGAUGAGUCCCUUAGGGACUAUGUAAGCCAUUUUAAUGUAGCAACUUUGGAGACAACUUAAACCACUCGGUUGUGAUUUUCACUCUAAGGAGCUGGUUGAAGUCAUCUCAGUUCCUCUUCUCCUUGGAAAAGAGUUUCUGAAGGAUUAUACCAAGCUUCUUACCCAAGCUAGGAAGUAAAUAAAUAUAGAAGAGGCUAUGGUAACUCUAAAAGACUUGGUCGAGGAAAGGCCUAGCAAGAAGAAGGAGAAUAAGGAAGCUUGAGAGGAGAAAGAAGGGUUCGACAAAAAGCCCAAGGAAGCACAAGGAAAGUUCUUGCUGAUGGAAGAGUCCACCUCAGAGAUUUGAGAGGUACAUGCCUCUCAACACCUCCUAUGCACAAAUCUUGAUAAAGAUAUAAAACCAAAGCUAUAUAAAAUAGCCUCAAAAGAUGAAGUCAGUAGCUUGGAAGGAGCUAAGCAAGUUUUGCAAGUUCUAUUAGACUACAAGAAUGAUAUUAAGGAUUACAUAUAGUUCAAAAACUAGAUCGAGAUUUUCAUCCAGUGAGGAUACCUUAUCUCUUAUGUCAAUGACCC
rnacentral:lncRNA from 1 species